UGUCACUGUGUCCCUGUCACUGCUCCUUUAGUGCUUCCCCCUGCUCUGGGGAUGGAGCAGCCUCAGGAUUCUCCCUGGGCUCCAGUGAGCAACCCCCGAGUGCCAGCGAGGCUCAGGUUCAUUCCUGCAGUGUUUGACACUUUUCCAGCCCCUUUUUCCCUUUUUCCAGGUGCACAGGAGCCAGCAAUGCCUCUGGAAGAGGAAACACCUCAGGGAAACACCUUGCACGAGGAAUGAGGAUCGUGAAGGGUCAGGCUGAAAUUGCCUCAGAAUAGUCAGAAUUAAUCCCUGAACCCACCCCGUUCCCUGUGGCACGUCUGGAGUUCAUCAUCAUCAUCAUCAUCAUCAUCAUCAUCAUCAUCAUCAUCAUCACCAUCCAAGGAAUCGAGUGGAUCCAAAGGAUCCAGGACCCAGCACAUGGCACCAGGACCCGGACCCAGGCACCAGCACCAGGACCCUGAACCCUAAAAUUUGGCACCCACCCCUAUGUGGCACCCUGCACCUCAACCUUGCUACCCUACAGCCCAAAACUGGGUCCCUGCACCAAACUUUGGGUCCUUGCACCCCAAAACUGGAUCCCUGCACUACCUGGGACCCAGCACCACCCCAGGCUGUGCCCCAGAGGUGCCCCCAGGAUUCCCUCCCUGGUUCUGUGACAUCACAAGGGAGCACCUGGCACUCGGACAAGCGGAAAAUCCCCCGGGAUGAAGUCCUGGCUGUGACCAUUCAGGGAUUUGGGAACCAUUUCUCCAGCAAUCUCCUGCUGAAGGGUCAGUUCUGUGUCCCUUGGUGCCAUCCACAUGUCCAGGAGCCCUGAGGUUGGCAGAGACACCCAUGGAGCCUUGCAAACAUUUGGGGCUUAAUUAAAAACUGUAUAAAAAUGGGUUUGUGGCACUGUCCUGCUUGUGAAACUUAAAAAGAAAAUAAUAAAUUCUGAACUUCAGCCA
rnacentral:lncRNA from 1 species